rnacentral:rRNA from 1 species
GUGGGGAAUCUUAGACAAUGGGCGCAAGCCUGAUCUAGCCAUGCCGCGUGAGCGAUGAAGGCCCUAGGGUUGUAAAGCUCUUUCAGCUGGGAAGAUAAUGACGGUACCAGCAGAAGAAGCCCCGGCUAACUCCGUGCCAGCAGCCGCGGUAAUACGGAGGGGGCUAGCGUUGUUCGGAAUUACUGGGCGUAAAGCGCGCGUAGGCGGACUGAAAAGUUGGGGGUGAAAUCCCGGGGCUCAACCUCGGAACUGCCUUCAAAACUAUCAGUCUGGAGUUCGAGAGAGGUGAGUGGAAUUCCGAGUGUAGAGGUGAAAUUCGUAGAUAUUCGGAGGAACACCAGUGGCGAAGGCGGCUCACUGGCUCGAUACUGACGCUGAGGUGCGAAAGCGUGGGGAGCAAACAGGAUUAGAAACCCGAGUAGUCC